AAGCAUACUUCGAUUGAAUGGUUUAAUUAGAUAUUAAUAUAUUGUAUUGGUAUUCCAAAAGUUACGAGUUGAAUUUGUGGUUGAAUGAGAUAAAAAUUUUAUAUCAACGCAAACUUUUCUCAUCUCUUAAGAUUAAAGUCACCGAUUUAAUCAAAAUGUCUCAUCUGUCUCCACUAAUGGACAACUCAGGCUCUUACAAUCUCUUCAAUCUCUGCCAUCGGAUUAUUCGCUGGAAUAAUUAUCGCCGUCAGAGUAGCUGAUCGGCAUCCCAGUGAUCUGGCGCGGAUGACUUUCUACUUUGGUGAACCAACGGUCAUAAUUCUGCAAAUACCGGUUUUUAGCCAAACCGUUUUGAGCUAGCAUCGUUUCCACUUAAAAAACUUCUUCACUUGAUCCUCCUCCAAACACUGUGAAACUGAAGGAGUUCGUUCUUUCGCAGAUGGCUAGGAACUACAUGAGAGACAACGUGCCUUUCUCACGAUUCGGCAUAUUGGUGGCUCAGCUAGAGUCUACAUAUGAACUUAAUCAGAGAGUUAAGACUGCUUCUGUUGUGGGUGGCACUGGAUAUGUCGCAUCUUUGCUCAUCAAGUUAUUACUUCAGAAGGGGUAUUCUGUCAAUACUACCGUCAGAGACCCAGGAUGUUAUGGAAGAGAAGUGUGGCUCUGCAGCCAUCUGUUUUGUUUCUUUCCUUCUUGAAAUUUUGGACUCCAAAGCUGAUGGGAGAAAUAAGUAACCUUGAGAUGAUGUUAGCAGUUGCAGAGAAGCUCAAGAGGAGUCCUUACAGCAACUAUGUUUGGGCAGCUGCUGGUAAGCAGCCAGAUCUUGAAAAGCAUGUAGGUGUCUGUUUGGGCAGCGCUUAUAUCUGAUGAACUCUAUGAGGAUCUCAAAGAACAGUGCAACGAGAACUAUGUGAAUAUAGAACCAACCAAUGCAAAAUGUGUAGCUGCUUAUGAAGUUUACAAAAAAGAAAGAUGAUUAGCAGUUUAGUUCCUAUUAAAAACAAAUAAUUUUCUUCAAGCUUCCCAGAAAUGACUGAUUAAUUUUAUUUUUAUAAUUGCAGUGCGUUAAAGGUUUAUUUCGCAAUGAUAUUUUGGAAC